rnacentral:rRNA from 1 species
GACGAACGCUGGCGGCGUGCUUAACACAUGCAAGUCGAACGGAAAGGCCCUGCUUUUGUGGGGUGCUCGAGUGGCGAACGGGUGAGUAUCACGUGAGUAACCUGCCCUUGACUUUGGGAUAACUUCAGGAAACUGGGGCUAAUACCGGAUAGGAGCUCUUGCUGCAUGGUGGGGGUUGGAAAGUUUCGGCGGUUGGGGAUGGACUCGCGGCUUAUCAGCUGGUUGGUGGGGUAGUGGCUUACCAAGGCUUUGACGGGUAGCCGGCCUGAGAGGGUGACCGGCCACAUUGGGACUGAGAUACGGCCCAGACUCCUACGGGAGGCAGCAGUGGGGAAUAUUGCACAAUGGGCGGAAGCCUGAUGCAGCAACGCCGCGUGCGGGAUGACGGCCUUCGGGUUGUAAACCGCUUUCGCCUGUGACGAAGCGUGAGUGACGGUAAUGGGUAAAGAAGCACCGGCUAACUACGUG